UACGGGGGGGGCAAGCGUUGUUCGGAAUUACUGGGCGUAAGGGGCUCGUAGGCGGCCAACUAAGUCGGAUGUGAAAUCCCCAGGCUCAACCUGGGAACUGCAUCCGAUACUGGAUGGCUUGAAUUCGGGAGAGGGAUGCAGAACUCCAGGUGUAGCGGUGAAAUGCGUAGAUAUCGGGAGGAACACCAGUGGCGAAGGCGGCUCUCUGGGGUAUUGCUGACGCUGAGGCACGAAAGCCAGGGGAGCGAACGGG
rnacentral:rRNA from 1 species